rnacentral:rRNA from 1 species
GGCUUAGAGUUUGAUCAUGGCUCAGGAUGAACGCUGGCGGCAUGCCUAAGACAUGCAAGUCGAACGCGAGGGCCCAUUGAUAAUGAAGGAAAUGGAAAGUGCUUGCACUUAAAAUGGAAUUCAUUUGAUUUGGAUUUUCCCUCGAGUGGCAAACGGGUGAGUAACACGUGGGUUACCUGCCACUAUGUUGGGGAUAACAGUUGGAAACGAUUGCUAAUACCGAAUGUGCUCUUCGGAGUAAAGGAGCCCUUAAAGCUCCGCGUAGAGAUGGGCCUGCGGCGCAUUGGCUAGUUGGUGGGGCAAUGGCCUACCAAGGCAACGAUGCGUAGCCGAGCUGAGAGGUUGAUCGGCCACACUGGGACUGAGACACGGCCCAGACUCCUACGGGAGACAGCAGUUAGGAAUAUUCGUCAAUGGGGGAAACCCUGAACGAGCAAUGCCGCGUGUGUGAUGAAGGCCCUAUGGGUUGUAAAACACUGUUGUUUGGAAAGAAUUGCAUAAGUAGGAAAUGACUUAUGCUUGACGGUACCAUUCAAGAAAGCCACGGCUAACUACGUGCCAGCAGCCGCGGUAAUACGUAGGUGGCGAGCGUUAUCCGGAUUUAUUGGGCGUAAAGCGUGCGCAGGCGGUUUGUUAAGUCUAAAAUAAAAGCCCGGAGCUUAACUCCGGGUUCGUUUUAGAAACUGACAGACUCGAGUGUGGUAGAGGCAAACGGAAUUUCUAGUGUAGCGGUAAAUGCGUAGAUAUUAGAAGGAACACCAGUGGCGANCGGUUUGCUGGNNNUUACUGACGCUCAUGCACGAAGCGUGGGGAGCAAAUAGGAUAGAUACCUAGUAGUCCACGUCGUAACGAUGAGUACUAGNGUCGAUAC